AUUAAUCUUAUUUAGAUUGUUUGAUUAAUAAAGAAAGAAGGCUUAUUGAUGAGAGGACUAAUGUAAGGACAGUAGAAAAGAAAAAAAUGGAAGUUAAACCUGUGGGCCAAUCUGGUAAUAUAUGUGUGAUCCAAUGUAUAGAUAUCUCAGGAUGUAUUAAUUUUUUAAAUAUAUAAUUUUAUAUAGGCAUGGAAUCUGAAUGCAUUAAUCCAUAUAAAGAUUGUUUGGUUUAUGAAGAAAAAAGACUUAUUGAUGAGAGGACUAAUAUAGGGACAGUAGAAAAGAAAAAAAUUUAAUUUAUAUUUAAUAUAAAAUAUUUUAUUUAUAUAAUAGAAGUUAAACCUAUGGGUCAAUCUGGUAAUAUAUG